rnacentral:rRNA from 1 species
GACAGAGGGUGCAACGUUGUUCGGAAUUACUGGGCGUAAAGCGCGUGUAGGCGGCUCUGCAAGUCGGAUGUGAAAUCCCACGGCUCAACCAUGGAAGUGCAUUCGAAACUGCAGGGCUAGAGUUCUGGAGAGGAAGGUGGAAUGCUUGGUGUAGAGGUGAAAUUCGUAGAUAUCAAGCGGAACACCGGUGGCGAAGGCGGCCUUCUGGACAGUAACUGACGCUGAGACGCGAAAGCGUGGGGAGCAAACAGG